ACGUCAAAUCAUCAUGCCCUUAUGACCUGGGCUACACACGUGCUACAAUGGGCGGUACAAAGGGUCGCGAACCCGCGAGGGGGGAGCCAAUCCCAAAAAGCCGCUCUCAGUUCGGAUUGCAGGCUGCAACUCGCCUGCAUGAAGCCGGAAUCGCUAGUAAUCGCGGAUCAGCAUGCCGCGGUCGAAUACGGUUCCCGGGCCUU
rnacentral:rRNA from 1 species